UACGUAGGAUCCAAGCGUUAUCCGGAUUUACUGGGCGUAAAGAGUUGCGUAGGUGGCAGAGUAAGUUAGUAGUGAAAGCGUGUGGCUCAACCAUACAUCCAUUACUAAAACUGCUCAGCUUGAGGACGAGAGAGGUCACUGGAAUUCCAAGUGUAGGAGUGAAAUCCGUAGAUAUUUGGAGGAACACCGAUGGCGUAGGCAGGUGACUGGCUCGUUCCUGACACUAAGGCACGAAAGCGUGGGGAGCAAACGGG
rnacentral:rRNA from 1 species